AUGGCAGAAAGAAAAGUGAGCACGCACCCGCAAAUGUAUGCGUUCAUACAAAUACUAGCAGCGUGUGCUCACUCUCUUCUGUCAA
rnacentral:miRNA from 1 species